rnacentral:misc_RNA from 1 species
ACAAUGAGCGGCCGAUUCGUUGCAGUAAUGAGUGCCUCCGAUCACGGAAGCGCUGUUGCCCGUGUUGCCGGUGUGCUGUGCCCUCUCGAUCCUUGCUCUCGACCAGCUCUCGACGGUCGGCUGGACCGACUGGACCGCGCGUCCGCGGGUCCACAGGCCUUGGCCGCUGUCCAGGUGGGAAAAAGCAGUGCCGGCAGUGCAGCCUCAGUCGUCGCAGGAGGAAGUGUCCCGCGCUGCCCUCGGGGUCCAAGUCCGGGUGGAGGACCGAGAGGAGCAGCGGGCUACUGGCGCUGUCCGUUCGGAGCCGGUGAAGGAGCGCCGAGUGGCCCCGAAGCAGACGCCGAGAGGGA